UGGGAAGGAGAGUAAGAAAAGGGAAGGGGAAGAAAUGGCAAGCCAAGAUCUAGCCAUGAUGUCCUUUCAUGAGAUUGCUUUACUGAGGGGCAGCACUGUCAGAAUUGCCCAAGGUUUCAAUGUUUGCCCAGUUUGUGUGCCAAGUCGAAACAACACUUUCUACAAUGUCCUUCAGUUCUCAUGCUGACACCCUACUGAGACACCCUGCUUUCCAGAGCUAAGGACUAGCAAGCAAGCUGUGCCCUAAGCAUGGCAUAACAACAAUUCUCAGUGCUCACCCUCUGGAUCAACACUGUUACAACUAAAUCGCAGAACUGAUGGUCCCUGAGCUCAGCAAGCACCAACAGUCCCAGGGAAGAAGACCUUCUACGAAAUGGACUUUUUGCCACUAGACAACCUUGCCUCACUGUUGCCCAUGUGCCUCAUCACUGUUGCAAACUACACUGUUUUGAUUCUUUAUCUAGCCACAAAUACAUAAAUCAAGGUUUAGCCCCACUGCGUCGAGUCUCCUGCUAGGAGUUGAAUUUCCCUCCCUCAAGGAAAUAAAGAAAACUUUUUGCUUUUAA